CCUACGGGAGGCUGCAGUGGGGAAUAUUGCACAAUGGGCGCAAGCCUGAUGCAGCCAUGCCGCGUGUGUGAAGAAGGCCUUCAGGUUGUAAAGCACUUUCAGCGGGGAGGAAGGCGGUAAGGUUAAUAACCUUGUCGAUUGACGUUACCCGCAGAAGAAGCACCGGCUAACUCCGUGCCAGCAGCCGCGGUAAUACGGAGGGUGCAAGCGUUAAUCGGAAUUACUGGGCGUAAAGCGCACGCAGGCGGUCUGUCAAGUCGGAUGUGAAAUCCCCGGGCUCAACCUGGGAACUGCAUUCGAAACUGGCAGGCUAGAGUCUUGUAGAGGGGGGUAGAAUUCCAGGUGUAGCGGUGAAAUGCGUAGAGAUCUGGAGGAAUACCGGUGGCGAAGGCGGCCCCCUGGACAAAGACUGACGCUCAGGUGCGAAAGCGUGGGGAGCAAACAGGAUUAGAUACCCGAGUAGUC
rnacentral:rRNA from 1 species